ensembl:lncRNA
GCAACUGUUUCCAGGGAAGCUCCCGCUGGCAACUUCCUGGUCACUCCCUCUCUGUAAAUAAACACAACUUCUGGAUCUGACUAAUGGAAGUCUGAUUUCCGCUCCAUCCUACUCUUUCCUUCCUCCUGUGACCUUUAUAGUACAUCCCCAGGAUGGGGGCCCAUCAAAGGUGACCCAACCCAAUGAUGGAGCCACAUUGUCAUGAAAAGGGCUGGUGUGGAUCUCCUGUCCUGGCUCCAUCAGCUCUACAGUAGCAGGCUCUGGGCUAUCAGACCAGGGUGAGAAAGAUGAUCCUUCUGCAGGUCAAGGGUCAUAUCUAAACACCUACACACUGAGUGUUUCCUUGUAGAGGUUAAGAGACUGUUUCACUUUUCAUGGUAAAUGUUCCCAACCUAGAUCUUGGUCUGGUCACUCAUGUCCCGAUGUAUCACAAUUUAAAUGUCACUUUUUGCAAACGCCAUCUUUUGUUUUUCACAUAAUGCCAUUUAGACGUAUAUGUUCUCAAAGACAGUGAUGUUAAUGUUUUUUAGUCUCUACGCAAAGCUAUGGAGGAACUCAUAAGUGUCAUAAAAAAAGAUUAUUUAAUAAAAAAAUUUAAUUAAAAAAUAAAAAUAGAAAUAAGAUAGAAACUUAUG